GACGAACGCUGGCGGCGUGCUUAACACAUGCAAGUCGAACGAAGAGCGACGGAAGCUUGCUUCUAUCAAUCUUAGUGGCGAACGGGUGAGUAACGCGUAAUCAACCUGCCCUUCAGAGGGGGACAACAGUUGGAAACGACCGCUAAUACCGCAUACGAUCUAAUCUCGGCAUCGAGGAUAGAUGAAAGGUGGCCUCUACAUGUAAGCUAUCACUGAAGGAGGGGAUUGCGUCUGAUUAGCUAGUUGGAGGGGUAACGGCCCACCAAGGCGAUGAUCAGUAGCCGGUCUGAGAGGAUGAACGGCCACAUUGGGACUGAGACACGGCCCAGACUCCUACGGGAGGCAGCAGUGGGGAAUCUUCCGCAAUGGACGAAAGUCUGACGGAGCAACGCCGCGUGAGUGAUGACGGCCUUCGGGUUGUAAAGCUCUGUUAAUCGGGACGAAAGGCCUUCUUGCGAACAGUUAGAA
rnacentral:rRNA from 1 species